AGUGAACGCUGGCGGUAGGCCUAAUACAUGCAAGUCGAACGGCAGCACAGUAAGAGCUUGCUCUUACGGGUGGCGAGUGGCGGACGGGUGAGGAAUACAUCGGAAUCUACUUUUUCGUGGGGGAUAACGUAGGGAAACUUACGCUAAUACCGCAUACGACCUACGGGUGAAAGCAGGGGAUCUUCGGACCUUGCGCGAUUGAAUGAGCCGAUGUCGGAUUAGCUAGUUGGCGGGGUAAAGGCCCACCAAGGCGACGAUCCGUAGCUGGUCUGAGAGGAUGAUCAGCCACACUGGAACUGAGACACGGUCCAGACUCCUACGGGAGGCAGCAGUGGGGAAUAUUGGACAAUGGGCGCAAGCCUGAUCCAGCCAUACCGCGUGAGUGAAGAAGGCCUUCGGGUUGUAAAGCCCUUUUGUUGGGAAAGAAAAGCAGCAGGUUAAUACCCCGCUGUUCUGACGGUACCCAAAGAAUAAGCACCGGCUAACUUCGUG
rnacentral:rRNA from 1 species